rnacentral:rRNA from 1 species
UGCGUGGGGAGCAAGCGUUGUUCGGAUUUACUGGGCGUAAAGGGCGCGUAGGCGGUCAGCACAAGUCAGUUGUGAAAUCUCCGGGCUUAACUCGGAAAGGUCAACUGAUACUGUGCGACUAGAGUGCAGAAGGGGCAACUGGAAUUCUCGGUGUAGCGGUGAAAUGCGUAGAUAUCGAGAGGAACACCUGCGGCGAAGGCGGGUUGCUGGGCUGACACUGACGCUGAUGCGCGAAAGCCAGGGGAGCGAACGGG